rnacentral:rRNA from 1 species
UAAUUGAAGAGUUUGAUCAUGGCUCAGAUUGAACGCUGGCGGCAGGCCUAACACAUGCAAGUCGGGCGGUAACAGGGAGAAGCUUGCUUCUCUGCUGACGAGCGGCGGACGGGUGAGUAAUGUAUGGGGAUCUGCCUGAUGGAGGGGGAUAACUACUGGAAACGGUAGCUAAUACCGCAUAAUGUCUCCGGACCAAAGCGGGGGACCUUCGGGCCUCGCACCAUCAGAUGAACCCAUAUGGGAUUAGCUAGUAGGUAAGGUAACGGCUUACCUAGGCGACGAUCCCUAGCUGGUCUGAGAGGAUGAUCAGCCACACUGGGACUGAGACACGGCCCAGACUCCUACGGGAGGCAGCAGUGGGGAAUAUUGCACAAUGGGCGCAAGCCUGAUGCAGCCAUGCCGCGUGUAUGAAGAAGGCCUUCGGGUUGUAAAGUACUUUCAGUCGGGAGGAAGGUGUUAAGGUUAAUAACCUUG